UACGUAGGGUGCAAGCGUUGUCCGGAAUUAUUGGGCGUAAAGAGCUCGUAGGCGGUCUGUCGCGUCUGCUGUGAAAACUCGGGGCUUAACCCCGGGCCUGCAGUGGGUACGGGCAGACUAGAGUGCGGUAGGGGAGACUGGAAUUCCUGGUGUAGCGGUGAAAUGCGCAGAUAUCAGGAGGAACACCGGUGGCGAAGGCGGUUCUCUGGGCCUUACCUGACACUGAGGAGCGAAAGCGUGGGGAGCGAACAGG
rnacentral:rRNA from 1 species